CGGAGUAGGACCCAAAGCGUUAAGUGCCGCCGGAACGGAAUGUGAACGAUGGACGAAAAGUUGUCGUGUGGCUGACAAGGUACUCAGUUGCCUUAUUUGUCGAAACACUGAUCAACUUGCGGUUUUGGGUCUGCAUUCGCCG
rnacentral:ncRNA from 1 species